CAGCCGCCACGGGAAUACGUAGGUGGCAAGCGUUGUCCGGAAUUAUUGGGCGUAAAGGGCUCGCAGGCGGUUUCUUAAGUUUGAUGUGAAAGCCCCCGGCUCAACCGGGGAGGGUCAUUGGAAACUGGGAAACUUGAGUGCAGAAGAGGAGAGUGGAAUUCCACGUGUAGCGGUGAAAUGCGUAGAGAUGUGGAGGAACACCAGUGGCGAAGGCGACUCUCUGGUCUGUAACUGACGCUGAGGAGCGAAAGCGUGGGGAGCGAACGGGAUUAGAUACCCCGGUAGUCCCUGUCUCUUAUAC
rnacentral:rRNA from 1 species